GCUAGCCUGGUGGGAGGGGGCGAAGUCUCUGAGCCAUCCUGUGUUAUUAGACUGGCUUGCAGUACCUCUAGUUACGAUACACAGUUGCUGUGGGUCCAUUCAGAGCAAUGGCAAGGUUUUGGGUCCAGUGUCGCAAAGGCAACACUGUUGGGAUGCAGUGAUGAUUAGUGUCUCUUAAGAAUGUGAGAUCACACAGAUUCUGGAGAAGUUUGGUAAUCCUGAUAUCACUGCACAGCCCACAAACAGUAGCCCCAAAAUGGAAGCAUCUUAUAAUGAGAUGUUAUCUUCACACCGAGGGACAUUUCAGGGAAGUAAAUAGCAGUUUGUGGAAUAAAGCAAUUGAAAAUAUGCAAGUAC
rnacentral:lncRNA from 1 species